AAACAAUAUUAUUUAAUCUUUCAUUAUAAAUUUGUAAUGAAAAAAUAAUAAUAUUGUAGAAACAUCUAUCUUAUAAAUUAUUAUACAGUAUAUAACAAAAGUUCAGGGACUCUGAAUUUGAGAUACAUUAUUGUGCUGGAAGUAAAAAAGCAUGAUACCUUCAUCAGAAGACAACUCUGUUGAGUGAAAAUGCAACAUCACCUAUCCCUUGAUGUUGAAAAGUGGGCAAGUGGACUAGUCAGUCAACUAGGAGCUUUUCACAAAGAGUCAUUUGGAAGCAUAUUUUACAAACAAAUCUUACAAAAAAAUAUAUUGAAUUUUUUCAUAAAAAAAAAACCUACAAAAUGUACUAUACAAGAUCUCAUCAAACAUUUUGUAAAACUGGAUGAAUGGACAGGAAAAGAAAUGAAAAUCCAG
rnacentral:lncRNA from 1 species